rnacentral:pre_miRNA from 1 species
AAAACUUGUAACUUUAAGUUUUUUCAUAACAUUUGACCAUUCGUCUUAUUCAAAAAAAUUAUGAAAUUAUUAUGUAUUUUGUUUGUGACUUAUUUUACUAUCAAAAGUACUUUAAGUAUGACUUAACGUUUUCUAUAUUUACACUAAUUUUUCAAAUAAGACGAAUGGUCAAACGUUACAAACAAAAAGUCAAAGCGACCACUAAU